UGAUAUCCUUCAACUUCAUCUCUUCCUUUUCCUUUCUUUCUGUUUCUUUUUUUUUUUUCUAUCCUUUCUUUCGCGAUUUCGGCUCCGACCUUUCAACGAAAUAAAAGCAAUCGUUCUCGCUAUGGUAUUCAGAGACACGGGAUAAACCAUGGACGCCUGAGGUGUGAUUUGUUUUUUACCUAGAGCGCCCUAUGGUUCCCUUUCCUUACUUCCUUUAUUUUGUCCUAUUCGUUGCAUCGCUCUUGAAAAAGGUAAUCGAAUUCCUCUGGGAGAAUCAGUGGAGCGGUACUGUUUACUCAGAUUUGUUUCCCGAGAAAAUGAAAGAGGAGAAAGGGAUAGUAAGCCGUGUGGAAAAUCUUGUACAGCUAUUGAUAUUCAUUUGUUCAUCGGACGUUCAGAAAAUAGGAUUUACAUAUAUGUAGGUAUAUUUUAAAAAGAACAAGACACUGAGACGAGGAUUCGCCACAGGAGUUCUUGUAUAGUGAUUCAGGAACUCUUCGGUAGAAAUCGAAAUAUUAUAUGUUGUAUAUAUAAAUAUCUUGAUACAAAAGGUAUAAUGUAUAAUAUAUAACGAUACAUAAUAUAUAGUGAUUCAAACUCAUACACGAUUAACAUGACGAUCUAAAGUGUAUUGAAAUUCGGACGAUUAAAAAUUACAACAAUUUUAUAAAUAAUCCCUAACUUUAUCUUCAGCGUUAUAUCGUCGAACUAUUGUCCACCCAUUUAUUUUGUUGCGAGGAUCAUUGACAUUCGAGCCUGUUAAAAUUGAAUAACCUCGCGUAAUCAGUGGUUUUUAACGUUGCAAUUUAAAACAACAAUUUUGUAUUAUUAAUCCUAUCGCAGAUCCUAUCGAUCGUACAAUUCGUUAAUUCCAGUGAAUUGUCAUCCAGUGAAUUGUUAUCAAUGCUUAAAUUUAUUUACUUGCGCAGAAGGAGCGUCAAAGCGACUUUUGACGACCCGAUUUGUUUAGCAAAUAGACGCAUGCGGGAUUUAAGACGAAUAGGUCGAUCGACUGACCUCUUGUUGUAUUGAAACGUUCAACUGAGACCAAUCAUACGCAGUUGCCUGUCAUUUCCAUUAUCGAAACUCAUCCUCUCAUCGGUCAAACGAUUGCUUCGGUUAUUAAUUAAUAUUAAUUAAUGGUAUCUAGACGGAGGAAAAUAAAUGAGCGCCAAAAUUGUAAAAUGAUGAAAUUAAUUAUCGUUCGAAAGAAGGAAAGUAUCAGACCGAAAUUUAUACAUUAUCGUCAGACAGAAUAAACACUUUGCGUUGCGCGAUACAUCAAACCACGUUUUUCGCCGAUUAACUACGUCACGACUUAGUUACAUAAUACUAAUUUCCAGAAUAUACUUAAAAUGAUCGGUUUGCGAUUUUUCAUAGAAAUUUUAGAAAUUUUCAAUGGUGCAUCUCUGAGAAUUUGAUUAAUUUCUUUUGCAGUAAAUGAAUAAAAGUUGUUCUUCUCGCAUUAUCUAUUUUUUUAUACACACCAUUAACCAUAAGCAUUGGAGCAUCUUCUAAUCGUUAUAUUUAUUGAAAAAUCUUAACAAAUUUUACUGUAUUUAAAAUUUUACAUUAUAUGGCAUGUAUGAUGCGAAUAAAAUGACAGAUUUUUACUAAAAUAACUGGCGAGUAAAACCAGUAAAAAUUUCAAUUUGUACCAAAUACAUAUUAAUACAUCUAGUAGCAUACUAGUAGAUAAUAUUUUAAUACUUAUGGUCGAUACCUUCAUGGUGGCUUCUUUGAUUCAAGUUUUAUGCGUUAUAACCAGCCAUAGAAGUAAGAUCUUAAGAAUACACUAACGUACACCUAAUCGCGAUCCUUCUUACAUUCUCAAUGGCGAAUUUCUCAUCAUUUUCUCUUUCACUUUCAUCACAAUGUACCUAAGGUCUGCCAGUGUUUCGUUAACAAUUGCCAUUAACAUCGUAUAAAUCAACACCUAUCGUAACGAAUAUACGAAAAAAGAACCCCUCUUCGUUACAAAUAUCAGUGAAAAACUGUGUGAACCAGUUCCAGACAGCGUUUCAAAGAAUUUCUUCGUUCGACAGGAGCAGAUGGAUCGAGGAUUUUCGUGUGGGGACUUCGCCAAGAAGUUGAUACGAUCUUCUUCGUAGAACGAUUUAAACGAUCGUUCGUUUAUCGUAUUUUCUGAAGCAGUAUAUAACAAGAAAAAUAUUGAUCGACGGGGAAAUAUUCGAUCGAAGCGAAUCGAAGGUUGUCCAGGCAGGAACUAAAUAGAUUCGAGAAGACUUGGAGUGUGUAAUUGAAAGUGUUUUUGCCGCGGGAUGGUUCAGGUAUGUAGAGAUGACUUUAAGGGAGAUAGACAUCACAGAAGAAAGAAAAACGAACAACCGCAUCUCCUCGUUAAUAUCCUCAAAGCGUGAAGAGAAAUAAAUGGCUCAAAGGCGAUUCCUCCGUGGUUCGUAAAUAUUCUCGCGUCUCUAAUAUAAAGAACGCUACGUGGAAGGGAAACUGAAGAUGCUUGAUCCUUUCCUUCAUCUUCUUUCUUUUCCUUUUUUUUUCUUUUUCUUUUCGAAAACGGUAGGUCCAUUCUGGUUGACUGAAAUGAGAUUCUCUUCUUUUUUCUACUCUUUAUCAGUCACGGGUGGUAAUCCUAUUAGCGGACACGAAAGAGGAUAGCGGAUUUCCACGUAACCGAAUCGACAAUCCUAUUUAUCUGUAUUUUUUAAGCCGCAUAGCUGAAUCUAAAAAUACGAAGCACGUGGUAUUUAAAAAACGAGAACCAAAAAGCGAGAGAACCUGUCCGACCAGAGCUCGCCCUCCGCGUCUUAUUUCGUAGAAAUCGAGAAUGCUGGGGCUGCAUAUGCGUUGCAUUAUACCGACGUAGUACCGGCCGAUGCGGUGACUAUAUCAGAAAGUAAAGAAAUGGUUGCAUGAAUUCAUGCCAAGGGGAGAUCCCACUGAAAAGAAAGAGUGAAAAACCUGUCUCCGUCGUUAUAUCGACAGUUACCUAAUAAAUACAGAGAGAGGCAAGGAGGAAGAAAUAGGUAAAGUAUGACGCAUUUGCGAGACGACUAAACACGGUAAAGGAAGAAGUGGUGGCUAAUUAAUCGACUUCUCGUGCAACGCGUGCAUUUCCCGUAAUCACGUUGUUUUCCAUACAAUAUCCACGCAUAGAAGACAAUGAAAGUGGUCGUUUAGACAGAUCGACGAUAUUACAAAACGUGCAGUAGUCGAGCGUGUUAACCGAACAAGAAACCAACUGGAAACAAUCAAAUUCUCGUCGGUGGUUCUUCCAAACGAGAUUGGACGAUUCUUGCGAAACUUGGAACUCGUUCAGUUCGAUUCCUCGAAACCACCUACCGAGUGCAAUAAUCUUCUAGACGAAACGUAGAUUCCGAUUUGCAGAGAGAUCACGUUGAUUCGCAUCUAUCUUUGGACGAAACAACGAGAAACAAAAAGUCUCGUGCGCAUCCACUGUGCCAUAUACGAGAUUGAUCUUAAAUCUGUGCAAAUCUACAAAACGAAUCAAUACAUAAAAUCAAAUAAUGCUAAACAGAAAAGCUAACGAUGUAUGCCAAGUUACUAUUAUUGGUAUUAUUUCUUGCAAUUUUCUAUCAAACAUAUGAUACACCGCGGUGUAAUGAUGAACUAUUACAAAUAUAGUCGCAACCAGUUUCAAUGGAGUAACAAAAAAGUAGGCAAAAAGACGUUUGUCCGUGCCAUAAACAGGUUCAAUGUCAGCGAUUGCGUAGGUUCCAUCAAACCGUUGGCAACACAGUUUUGACCUGUCACUGUAGACCAUGAAUUUUCUUGAUUACCAAUUAAACCAACCUUCCUCGUUUCCAUUUCCGCAUACGUCAUAACGGCACACAAUUUCGUGAAACUCAAAACUCCCAAGUUGAUUUUUCGUCUGCCAUACAAAUAAUUAUGAAACAGAUGAAAAUGAAGCGUCUCGAAUACUAAUCGAGAAAAUGGAUAUCAGCCACGAUUUACACGGUUACGAAACGGCGUAGAGGCAUAGCAAAAUCUGAUGAAGGCUUGCAAUUUAUAGAUCCUCUGUGUAAACGUAUCCAGAGUCCAGAGCAAACAGGACAUGUCGUAAUAAUCAUAGAUACGCGAAUUAAAGGACGUCAGGCCGUCGAUGAUAUUGUCUCGGCGAUGGUGGUGACGACAACGUGUAAUAUUUGGCUUCUGACAACACCUCUUCUUUGACCCUCAACGCCAAGUAAUCGUAUCUUGAGCCAUACUGACUCUUUGACAUGGUAAGAUAGAGUUGUUUGAAUCGCCUAACAUCUCGAAAUUCAAUCUUGAACUUUUUAUAAUAUAAUUGAACUUUUCAUAAUAUGAUUAAUCUAGUUGAAUAUUAUGAGACACGACUAGUCUUUAAUAUAAUAAUGAAAGAGUGUAGGUGUAGAAAAUAUCGCCUGUACUUUAGAUCCAGCAAGACCAAAAAAUGCGGUGGAGUAUAAUUGUACGAAUCCUCUAGCAUUCUUUUGUUUAUUUAUCGACCUAUGUCGCAUUGAUAACAAUGGAGAAAUUCUAUGGCUCACAAUCGUUGCUCCUUGUGUGGUCUUCACGGUCGAAUAUGUCGAUCAUGUGACCAUACAGAUAUCUUUGAUAACACUAGAAAUCAGAGAGAAAGAUACAAAAGGAAUAUCGCAAAAAGACAAAAGUGAAAAUACGCGAAAAAAAGACAUAUUAAUCAGAAUACGAGUUAUCUACCCUUCCGGGAAACAUCGUGUCCGGUGAAUGAUAUGCACUGCAUGUUGACAAUAAUGAAAUGAGACCUUCGCUCGAGCGUUACUGCACGCCAUUCGACGAAUAAUGCGUCGCUAAUUAAACGACAUUUUGUUUACGUUUUUAAGUGAAGCUAAGAGAGAGAGAGAGAGAGAGAGAGAGAGAGUUUAAAGUGAAUCUGAUAUAAGUAUAUAUGUAUUUUUAUUAGUAUUUGUCAUACAACUGUGUAUAUAACAAAUUAUAGCAAAAUUACAAAUUUAAAAAAUGAUAUAUAAAAAAGAAGAAAAAAUUGUUAGAACUUCACACAUAUUAUCAGAGCAAUCACCUCACUCUUCCACUCUGAUUAUAGAUAUAU